rfam:Ascochyta rabiei strain ArDII scaffold_237, whole genome shotgun sequence.
GGGCUCGUGGUUUAGUGGUAUAAUACUCCCUUAGCAUCUCGCAGCUUCAUCGAAGCUUUCGAAAUCCUGACUGGGAGUGGUCCGGGGUUCGAUUCCCCGCGAGUCCA